UACGUAGGGACCAAGCGUUGUUCGGAUUUACUGGGCGUAAAGGGCGCGUAGGCGGCGCGGUAAGUCACUUGUGAAAUCUCUGAGCUUAACUCAGAACGGCCAAGUGAUACUGCAGUGCUAGAGUGUGGAAGGGGCAAUCGGAAUUCUCGGUGUAGCGGUGAAAUGCGUAGAUAUCGAGAGGAACACCUGCGGCGAAGGCGGGUUGCUGGGCUGACACUGACGCUGACAGCGCGAAAGCUAGGGGAGCGAACGGG
rnacentral:rRNA from 1 species